AAUGUCUCUAACGUGUGUGGGCUGGAAUGCAUUUUGUUUUUUCUGUAGGUAUAUUCAUUUAACAACGGGAGUCUCUGAGGAGCUAUCAAAAACUGCUUGCCAUCUUUCCAAAUCAUCUCUGUCUGCAGUGACCAUGUCUUAAUCCUGAAGGAAAACAAGAAACCAAAAAUGCAGAAAAGAACUCCAGCACUCAGAUUAAUACAUGGAAUACCACAACGAAGAAAGAAACCAUGUUCGUCGUGCAUUGAGGCGUGUUUUCAUUCUUGAACUUUACUUGGACCUCACUGUGGGCCUUCAGCAGUCAGCACGUAGCACUAUACAGUCCUGUCUUCUGUUUUAGACAAGUUUCUUUUUUCUGCUUUGCAAAAAAAAAAAGAAGAAGAAGAAAUGUAAAGAAAAUACACAACAACAAUAACACUAAUCCCUCAACAAUAAUUUCUUCUCUAAAAAUAGUUCAAGAAGAAAAAUAAAAGGAUCUUGCUGUAUAUUUUUUGUAUCUACAUUGAAUUAUCUAGUCUUCAUAAUUUUCCACCUGGUUUUAAAAACAAACAUCACGAUUUUAGUUCUCUAUCAUGUUAUAAGCAACAAAUGAAAGAGUUAUGACUUAUCCACAGGAAAAAAAACAACAACCUGGAGAACUCACUUCAUAUGAGAUCAAUAAUGUUGCCCUCAUGCACAUGUGUAUAUAAAUUUUGCAAGUCUUUUUUACAGAUGUUUCUCAAAUGCCACUAGCUCAUAGAAAAUAACAAAUCCUCUAGUUUUCUAGUAACCAAAAUCAAUAAGACAUGGAAUCUUCAUCAGUCAAGAGUCAAGUGUUUUGAAGUUUUCAUACAUGUGUUUAAACCUAAACACACGUAUUGCAUAGUAUUACUAGCAAAUUGGAUAUAUUAAGGUUUACAACUUCAUUGAUGCAACUAAACCGUUUUAUGCAAUUUUUAGGGUGAUAGAAAUCUAGUAAUAAAAAGUGACAUCUAAACUGAGCCUUUACUUUUUUUGUUAUGAAUUUCCUAAAAUAAUAUGAUCUUUUAUAUAUAUUUUUAAAUAGGAUGUGUGUCUUGAGUUGACUUUCUGAUAGUAAAAAUGAGUUUUCCUCAAUACAUGUGCCUAAAGGUUCCAUGAAUGAUAGCACACAUUUGUGAGACAGCUGGCCAAGGUAAGAGGGAUUUAUGUUCAUGCAAAGGCAAUAUGUUCAAAUCAGGAUGAACCUGCAAGUUCACACUAGCACCACAUUUUACCCAACCAUAUGGAUAAAUCUGAAUCUGAAAUGCUUAUAUUUACUUAGAUUUUCCACAAUCCUUUUUUGAAAAUGAAAAUCCAGAAAAAUCUACCAAUUCACCCAGAAUUCUUCACUUUGACAUGGCAACUACUAGAAUCAACAAGAAGUGCUAUAGGUAGAGGUCAAUUUGUCCUUGUCUGAGAAGACAAACAGUCAAAGGACAUAGUGGUAAAGAAACUAAGGAGCCCUCGUUUCUCUAUCUUCUUAUGUUGAAGUGCAACUUGAUCUCUUCCCAUUUCACUCUGUAUUAGAGACAUCAUGUUGUUUAUGUCAUUAGGAUAUCUUUCAAAGACAGUCGGCAGUGAGGUGAGACCACAGCAACCAGUGGUUCUUCUUCCUAUCAAUUUCUUCAGAUAUAAACCCUAAAUACAAACCUUACAAAGAAAUCUCUUGUUAACUUGCCCUUUCAAUUUACUUACAAAUCUCUGCUUCUUCCUUCCUCGAUCCUGUUUUUCACCAACACUUCAAGAGCUAGAACAAUCUCUUGUUACUGAGGGAAGAGAUUGACAUGCUAUUCAAAUGAGUUACUAUUCACUGAUGAAUAAGCGAUGAUGCUGAGUUGCAUGAUGAACUCAGCAAUCAGUGAAGGUUACUGGGCUCAUUUCCUUUUGUUUUGGGAAUAAUAAGAGUACAUUAUCAAGGAGAAUUACAUAAACAUAUAUUCUAUUAAAACUCCAGGGGCCUGGUAGAGUUCCAACCAACAGAGAAUUUUCUGAAUAAACCAUAACCUUGGGGCCCGAGAGGACCAAGUUCAAGCUUUCAAAACCACACAAUCAGGCUCUCUUUUAAAGAGAUGCUUAUGUAAUGUUUUAACGAUUAUUUGGGGAGUGAAAGUUUUAGCUGGUUAAGUGGCUAUUUUCUUUGUAACACUACCAAUAGACUAUUUACCUAAAUGUCUUAUUGACUAAUUCCUCUUUUUUCAUAUCUCAAGAUUUAGAGACACAUACUAACACAAAUACAUGCUAGGCAUGUAAUUUGGUAUGGUAUCAACGUCAUAUUUGAGUGUGAAUAGCUAAUUUUGGCAAUCAUUUUGCAACCUGAUCAUUAGUGAUUUCUUAGGAUUUUUUUUUCUUUUUUGACAAGUUCUCACUUUGCCACCCAGGCUGGAGUGCAGCGGCGCAAUCUCGGCUCACUGGAGCCUCAACCUCCUGGGCUCAAGUGAUCAUCUCACCUCAGUCCCCCGAGUAGCUGGGACUAUAGGCCUGUGCCACCACUCCCAGCUAAUAUUUUGUAUUAUUUUGUAGAGAUGGGGUUUUACCAUGUUGCUCAGGCUGGUCUUGAACUUCUGAGCUCAAGCGAUCCACCCACCUCGGCCUUCCAAAGUGCUAGGAUUACAAGCGUGAGCCACCGCGCAGGCUGCAUACGGAUUUUUUAUUUUUAACACAGGCAUUUAAUCUCCAGUUUAACAAUUACCUAUUCUUGGGUAGGAAUGAACCCCAGUGUAGCCCUUCAGAACACAAUUGUAAGUAUCUGUGAUAUUCCUAUUCCAAAAAUAUCCUCCUAUUCUAAAGGAAAAUAUGGUCGAAAUAUUAAAUCCAUUCUUUAGAAGGUCACCUGACGUUUACUCUUCAUUUACCUUCUCCUCCCAUGAAAACCCCCUGUGCCUACUGCCCCAUGCUGGGGACCUUUAGACAAAAGCAUGGUGGUGAAUCAAACUUGCAGUUCAAACCCUGAAAGAGACUUUAUUAAAAUGGACAACAGAUGUGAACAAAGAAAAGAAA